UGGAUAUGUAGAGAAAAGUAGGUAGGAGAGUGACCAAGGAAAGCUUCAUUUCCUUUUUUGCCUAAGUUAUUUUGGUAGCAGUUUCUUGACCCAGGAAUUUGUGACCAUAUAAACUUUAGUAGAGAAUUCUGGAUGUUACCAGCCUUGAGUGAUAUCUGCCAAAUAUCACCUUCAAAUGAUCUUUCAUGGUGAUAGUUCUAGCCCCUAAAAGAUAAAAAGGAAGACUAUUGUACGUAGUUGUGCAAACUGUAUUCAAAGCCAGAUAAUUGGUAUUUGAAGUGGGUUCAGAGCAGUUUUCUUGUCAUUUUCCAUCAAAGUACCCCCUAACUGGUGGUACAGGAGGAAGUUUGGGGUAGCAGAACUUCAUCAAUAGAAUUACACGAGUUGUGGAAGAGAAUAGGGCAACUGUUAAAGGUAACCUGAACCAGCAAGUCUGAAGUGUCUUUAAAAUACUGUGGUUGUUUUCUUUGAAAAUUUGAGUAAUUGUUAUACGCCUCCCCAUAAUAGGCCCAUGUUUCUUUUACAAGAAAACAGUGCUUGAAUUGACUUGCUAUUAGUAAAAUUGACUUUCUGGGAAGAAAUGUCAUGAUUGCCGUGUGGAUCUCAGUCUGCCUACACAUGCUUGCACACACAUGGGUAUAUCCAGAGGGUUUCACUGAGGAUGAUACUAAACGUGAGAUUUCACUUGUCUGAGCAGUCACAAUACCAUGAUUUGGUUGAAAUGGGUGCAUUUCACGUUUGUUUGUAAGGUGAUUACCCAUCUCAGGAUUCCCAUCAUUUUCUGGAUCCCCAAAUUUGUAAGGAUUUUUCUAUGAUCUAUAUCUGACUGCCAGUGAUAUGGGCUCAGAUGUUCAGGAGAGGUGGAAAAUAUGGGGCCCAGGUUUUCAGGUCAGAAAAACCAGCAUGAUGCACUGGGCAGGUGUAGAAAUGAAUCUGGGUAAAGCAUUCUUGCCCUCCACUUAUCUUAUGAGCUAUUGAUAGAGUUUUGCCAGAUAAAGCAGGCUGGGUAUGAAACUAUGAUGGACACAUCUGAAAACUUUUCAAAGCUUUGUGAAUGCUCCACAGUUUGAGGUUUAGUGUUAGGUAAAGAUUAGCUCCCCCUACAGUUUAUAGUUUAUAAUGUACCCCUUUGGGUCUGGACUAGAGCAUAGUCAUGACUUGAGUUCCACAAUUAGAUACACCCAUGUGAGCAUUUGAAUCAGAUGCUAGUGAUGCAAAAAAGGAUAAUUCAGGUAAUUUCUCUUCCUCCCUCUCCUUCUUUCUUGUAAUAGUAGCUGGGGCUACAAGGUAAUACAUGGCAUAAGAGUCCACUUGUCCUUAGUGGCUGGAAUUACUCCUUUAUCAAAUCCGUUCUGCAACAUAAUUUUGGAUGCCAGUCUGGAAGCUUAACUCAAGCCUAGCUCUCCAGCCCUUUCAACAAUUCAGUAAGCCACAAAAUAUCAUUUUAUUAAACUCCUUUUCUGCUCAACCAACUGAAGUCAUCUUUGAUUGCUUGCAACCGAAGGCCCUGAUGAAAACAGACAGUAAUUAGGAGAGAUCAACUUUAGACAGAGUGGUCAGGGAGGUCUCUCUGAGAAGGUGAUAUUUGCACUGGGGCAGGAAGAAUGUGAAGAAGCAAGUAAUGUGAAAAGCUAGGGGGAAAGCUGGAGCCGAAGAAGAAAGUACAAAGGCUUCUGUACAGAGGUGGGGGUCCAGCAGAGAACAGAACAAACAAGCCCCCUGUCUUAGUGGAGUUUACCUCUAGUUGGGGUAUUUACACAGUUAAAUGUAGGCAGAUAAUAAGUAGUGUAAUUUCAGAUACCAAUCGGUGUUAUAAAGAAAACGAAAGAGAGAGUUAUAGGCUGCAGACAAGAGACUAUUUGGGAUAGGGUGAGCAGGAAAGGCUUAUCUGAGGAGGUCACGUUCCUCAGAGACAUAGGAGAUUUAUGACUUAGAGAAAAAAAUCCCUCGGGUACACUAUUGGGACACCUUGCUCAGGGAAGUGAAUUUCAUAAGAGUUCUUAAAAUAAAAACAAAUAUUGCAGUGCCAUUUCUGCCAAGGUUAGGAAUGUUGAGAGAAUCCAACAGAUGUUAAAAUGCCCCUAGAGACAAAAGAUUUUUAAAUGUCAAACGUGAUCCUCUUUUUGGUGAUGUUCUCAACCUUAUACUUGUCAAAUACGUACGACUACAUUUUUAGGGAGAUAGUUCUUUAAUUUACGAAUAUUCUUUUACAACUACAAAUUGGCUCCAAUUUUGUUUUGGGUAGUUGCUGUGUGAACAAAUACUAAAAGCAAAAUAAAGGCAAUGCCGGUUCUUCAUCACUUUCUCAGAAGCUCUUCUGGUUUGAUGGACUGGGCUGUCAACAAUGGAAUAAAGCCAGUGCUUAACAGAGAGAAACCUCAGCUUCAAGCAGCAGUGUUCCAAAAUAAUCUCUUGAAAUGGCACUAAGAAACUUCUCGGAAGCACAAACCAAUAAGGACAGGGAGAACAGAAGAACAGAACAACAACAACAAAGAACAAGCAAGCAAAUAAGCAAACAACCUAGAGGCUAGAAAGCAAGUGGAUGAGCGGUAAAGAGAACUUAAUGGACCUGAGAAUACAGAUCCAAAGCUGGCAAAGAGAAAACUGUCAACUAACUUAAUUUUACAGUAGAGACUGGCAAUACUAGAUGUCUCUGGAAAUGGGGCUUGAAGGAAGGUGGGUAAAAUAGGAGGAUACACUCAAAGUUAAAAAGCAGUCAGAUCCAUUAACUAUGUCCCCAAUUCCCAGCAUCCAAGAAAGUGCUGCCCCCUCUCCUCCCCAGACCAACCCCCCAUCCCAACCCUGGCAGAGGACUAGAGAUCUAGUCUCUGAGGAGGGUGAGACGUAGGCUCUUGGCUAGGUGGGGUUGAAGGUAAGGACAGGAUACUGAAAGUGGGGGAAAUAAGUAGAAAUAUGCAUGCUAAAUGCUGAAAACCCUAACUCUCUUUACCUUCCAAAAUAGUAGUUGACAGACUUUUAACUUCAACUAGGAGAUUGGAAGAUCUUUCCCUACACAGUCUGAUAAGCUCAGAAGAAAAGGUUUAAAGAUACUGACAUUCUAGGCUCUUCAAGUAAAAAGCCAAGCCAGAUCACCCUCAAGUAAAACUGUUGGGAAGUUACUUUCCCACUUCUACCCCAACACCUCUUGACACACAGAUGCCUGUUAUCUUUAUGAUCUGAGAGAAAUCUUUAACUUGAAAGGUAAAGAGACCAAAAUAAAGCAAACAGAUGAAAGCAUCUUAGAGGAAAUACAUGCCCUACCUGGAGAAUCAAACUCCAAAAACAAACAAACAAACAAAAAAAACUUAAAUCACAUCAUUAAUAUCCUUAAAGGUGUUAAAAAAAAAGAUAUUGCAAUCAUGAAACAAGAAUAGGAUACUAUAACAAAAUUAAAACAUUCAGAGAACAAAAUAAGCUAUUGGAGUUAAAUACACACACACACACACACACACACACACACACACACAUACGUAUAAUAGCAGAUGAAAAAACAGAUCAGAAGAAUUAGAAGAUAAAAAUUUCUGAAGACAUUUCCCAUAAAGUAAAACAGAAGAACAGAUGAAAAAAAAAAAAAAAGACUAGCCCAG